CAGUAGCCACGGGAAUACGAAGGGGGCUAGCGUUGCUCGGAAUGACUGGGCGUAAAGGGCGCGUAGGCGGUUUGUACAGUUGGGUGUGAAAUUCCUGGGCUCAACCCAUAGCCUGCACGGGAAACUGUCGGGCUUGAGAAUGGGAGAGGUGAGUGGAAUUUCCGGUGUAGCGGUGAAAUGCGUAGAUAUCGGAAGGAACACCUGUGGCGAAAGCGGCUCACUGGACCAUUUCUGACGCUGAUGCACGAAAGCUAGGGGAGCAAACAGGAUUAGAUACCCCGGUAGUCCCUGUCUCUUAUAC
rnacentral:rRNA from 1 species